UACGGGGGGUGCAAGCGUUGUUCGGAAUUACUGGGCGUAAAGGGCUCGUAGGCGGCCAACUAAGUCAGACGUGAAAUCCCUCGGCUUAACCGGGGAACUGCGUCUGAUACUGGAUGGCUUGAGGUUGGGAGAGGGAUGCGGAAUUCCAGGUGUAGCGGUGAAAUGCGUAGAUAUCUGGAGGAACACCGGUGGCGAAGGCGGCAUCCUGGACCAAUUCUGACGCUGAGUGAGCGAAAGCCAGGGGAGCAAACGGG
rnacentral:rRNA from 1 species